GAUGAACGCUGGCGGCGUGCUUAACACAUGCAAGUCGAACGGAAAGGCCCUGCUUGCAGGGUACUCGAGUGGCGAACGGGUGAGUAACACGUGGGUGAUCUGCCCUGUACUUUGGGAUAAGCCUGGGAAACUGGGUCUAAUACCGAAUAUGACAAUUGUUUGGAUGCGAUUGUGGAAAGCUUUUGCGGUAUGGGAUGAGCUCGCGGCCUAUCAGCUUGUUGGUGGGGUAAUGGCCUACCAAGGCGUCGACGGGUAGCCGGCCUGAGAGGGUGUACGGCCACAUUGGGACUGAGAUACGGCCCAGACUCCUACGGGAGGCAGCAGUGGGGAAUAUUGCACAAUGGACGAAAGUCUGACGGAGCAACGCCGCGUGAGUGAAGAAGGCCUUCGGGUCGUAAAACUCUGUUGCCGGGGAAGAACAAGUGCCGUUCGAACAGGGCGGCGCCUUGACGGUACCCGGCCAGAAAGCCACGGCUAACUACGUG
rnacentral:rRNA from 1 species